UACAGAGGGUGCGAGCGUUAAUCGGAAUUACUGGGCGUAAAGCGCACGUAGGCGGCUUGGUAUGUCGGGUGUGAAAUCCCCGGGCUCAACCUGGGAACUGCAUCCGAAACUGCCUUGCUAGAGUAUGGGAGAGGGAAGUGGAAUUUCCGGUGUAGCGGUGAAAUGCGUAGAUAUCGGAAGGAACAUCAGUGGCGAAGGCGGCCCUCUGGACGGAUACUGACGCUGAGGCGCGAAAGCGUGGGGAUCAAACAGG
rnacentral:rRNA from 1 species